rnacentral:rRNA from 1 species
AUUGAACGCUGGCGGCAGGCUUAACACAUGCAAGUCGAGCGGGGUGAUGGUGCUUGCACUAUCACUUAGCGGCGGACGGGUGAGUAAUGCUUAGGAAUCUGCCUAUUAGUGGGGGACAACAUCUCGAAAGGGAUGCUAAUACCGCAUACGUCCUACGGGAGAAAGCAGGGGAUCACUUGUGACCUUGCGCUAAUAGAUGAGCCUAAGUCGGAUUAGCUAGUUGGUGGGGUAAAGGCCUACCAAGGCGACGAUCUGUAGCGGGUCUGAGAGGAUGAUCCGCCACACUGGGACUGAGACACGGCCCAGACUCCUACGGGAGGCAGCAGUGGGGAAUAUUGGACAAUGGGGGGAACCCUGAUCCAGCCAUGCCGCGUGUGUGAAGAAGGCCUUAUGGUUGUAGAGCACUUUAAGCGAGGAGGAGGCCCUUUUGGUUAAUACCCAAGAUGAGUGGACGUUACUCGCAGAAUAAGCACCGGCUAACUCUGUGCCAGCCGCCGCCGUAAGAC